rnacentral:rRNA from 1 species
GCGGUUGCCCCGCAAGGGGUAACUGAGUGGCGAACGGGUGAGUAACACGUGGGUGACCUACCUUCGAGUGGGGGAUAACGUCCCGAAAGGGACGCUAAUACCGCAUAACAUCCUGCCUUUGAACAGGCGGAGAUCAAAGCCGGGGAUCGCAAGACCUGGCGCUUGAUGAGGGGCCCGCGUCCGAUUAGCUAGUUGGUGAGGUAAUGGCUCACCAAGGCAACGAUCGGUAGCCGGCCUGAGAGGGCGGACGGCCACACUGGGACUGAGACACGGCCCAGACUCCUACGGGAGGCAGCAGUGGGGAAUUGUUCGCAAUGGGCGCAAGCCUGACGACGCAACGCCGCGUGGAGGAUGAAGGUCUUCGGAUUGUAAACUCCUGUUGCCCGGGACGAAUAGCUCCAACCUAAUACGUUGGAGUAUGACGGUACCGGGUGAGGAAGCCCCGGCUAACUCUGUGCCAGCAGCCGCGGUAAUACAGAGGGGGCAAGCGUUGUUCGGAAUUACUGGGCGUAAAGGGCGCGUAGGCGGCCUGCUAAGUCGAACGUGAAAUCCCUGGGCUCAACCCAGGAACUGCGUCCGAGACUGGUUGGCUUGAAUCCGGGAGAGGGAUGUGGAAUUCCAGGUGUAGCGGUGAAAUGCGUAGAUAUCUGGAGGAACACCGGUGGCGAAGGCGGCAUCCUGGACCGGCAUUGACGCUGAGGCGCGAAAGCCAGGGGAGCAAACGGGAUUAGAUACCCCGGUAGUCCUGGCCCUAAACGAUGAAUGCUUGGUGUGGCGGGUAUCG